rnacentral:rRNA from 1 species
UACAGAGGGGGCAAGCGUUAUUCGGAAUUAUUGGGCGUAAAGGGCGCGUAGGCGGUCUGACAAGUGGAAGGUGAAACUCCCCGCGCUUAACGUGGGAACUGCCUUCCAAACUGUUUGACUUGAGUCGGGAGAGGUGAGUGGAAUUCCCAGUGUAGCGGUGAAAUGCGUAGAGAUCCGGAAGAACGACCGGUGGCGAAGGCGGUCUGCUGGGCAGUUGCUGGACACUGAGGCGCGACGAGCGUGGGGAGCAAACAGG